rnacentral:rRNA from 1 species
CCUAAGGUAGCGAAAUUCCUUGUCGGGUAAGUUCCGACCUGCACGAAUGGCGUAACGACGGGGGCGCUGUCUCCACCAUAGACUCAGUGAAAUCGAAAUCGCGGUGAAGAUGCCGUGUUCCCGCGGCUAGACGGAAAGACCCCGUGAACCUUUACUAUAGCUUGGCACUGAACUUUGAAUCUAUCUGUGUAGGAUAGGUGGGAGGCUUUGAAGCGUUAUCGCUAGAUAGCGUGGAGCCACCCUUGAAAUACCACCCUGGUAUAUUUGAGGUUCUAACUCUGACCCAUUAUCUGGGUCGAGGACAGUGUCUGGUGGGUAGUUUGACUGGGGCGGUCUCCUCCCAAAGAGUAACGGAGGAGCGCGAAGGUACACUCAGCAUGGUCGGAAAUCAUGCUAUGAGCGCAAAGGUAGAAGUGUGCUUGACUGCGAGACUGACACGUCGAGCAGGUACGAAAGUAGGUCUUAGUGAUCCGGUGGUUCUGUAUGGAAGGGCCAUCGCUCAACGGAUAAAAGGUACUCCGGGGAUAACAGGCUGAUACCGCCCAAGAGUUCAUAUCGACGGCGGUGUUUGGCACCUCGAUGUCGGCUCAUCACAUCCUGGGGCUGGAGCUGGUCCCAAGGGUAUGGCUGUUCGCCAUUUAAAGUGGUACGCGAGCUGGGUUCAGAACGUCGUGAGACAGUUCGGUCCCUAUCUGCCGUGGGCGUUGGAAAAUUGAGGAAAGCUGCUCCUAGUACGAGAGGACCGGAGUGGACGAACCCCUGGUGUUUGGGUUGUCAUGCCAAUGGCAUUGCCCAGUAGCUACGUUCGGACGGGAUAACCGCUGAAAGCAUCUAAGCGGGAAGCCUCUUCCAAGAUUAAUUUUCCCUGGGAGUUUAACUCCCCUGAAGGGCCGUUCAAGACUAGGACGUUGAUAGGUUGGGUGUGGAAGCGCUGCGAGGCGUUGAGCUAACCAAUACUAAUUGCCCGUGAGGCUUGACCAU